rnacentral:rRNA from 1 species
AUUGAACGCUGGCGGCAGGCUUAACACAUGCAAGUCGAGCGGGGUGAUGGUGCUUGCACUAUCACUUAGCGGCGGACGGGUGAGUAAUACUUAGGAAUCUGCCUAUUAGUGGGGGACAACAUCUCGAAAGGGAUGCUAAUACCGCAUACGUCCUAAGGGAGAAAGCAGGGGAUCACUUGUGACCUUGCGCUAAUAGAUGAGCCUAAGUCGGAUUAGCUAGUUGGUGGGGUAAAGGCCUACCAAGGCGACGAUCUGUAGCGGGUCUGAGAGGAUGAUCCGCCACACUGGGACUGAGACACGGCCCAGACUCCUACGGGAGGCAGCAGUGGGGAAUAUUGGACAAUGGGGGGAACCCUGAUCCAGCCAUGCCGCGUGUGUGAAGAAGGCCUUAUGGUUGUAAAGCACUUUAAGUGAGGAGGAGGCUCUUUUGGUUAAUACCCAAGAUGAGUGGACGUUACUCGCAGAAUAAGCACCGGCUAACUCUGUGCCAGCCGCCGCGGUAA